rnacentral:tRNA from 1 species
AUCGGUUUAGCUCAGUGGCAGAGCGGCGGUUUCCAAGUCCGUGCGUCCGGGGUUCGAUUCCCUGAACCGGUG